AGUGAACGCUGGCGGUAGGCCUAACACAUGCAAGUCGAACGGCAGCACAGUAAGAGCUUGCUCUUACGGGUGGCGAGUGGCGGACGGGUGAGGAAUACAUCGGAAUCUACUUUUUCGUGGGGGAUAACGUAGGGAAACUUACGCUAAUACCGCAUCCGACCUACGGGUGAAAGCAGGGGAUCUUCGGACCUUGCGCGAUUGAAUGAGCCGCUGUCGGAUUAGCUAGUUGGCGGGGUAAAGGCCCACCAAGGCGACGAUCCGUAGCUGGUCUGAGAGGAUGAUCGGCCACACUGGAACUGAGACACGGUCCAGACUCCUAAGGGAGGCAGCAGUGGGGAAUAUUGGACAAUGGGCGCAAGCCUGAUCCAGCCAUACCGCGUGGGUGAAGAAGGCCUUCGGGUUGUAAAGACCUUUUGUGGGGAAAGAAAAGCAGCAGGUUAAUACCCCGCUGUUCUGACGGUACCCAAAGAAUAAGCACCGGCUAACUUCGUG
rnacentral:rRNA from 1 species